UCCCAGUGAGGAGCAGAGCCUGGGCAGACAAAACACUAGUGCUUUUUCAGACACCACUCAGGUCCUCAAGCACUGGUUUCCUGAUGCCAUACAUGAAACAGAAGGCUGAUUUUGGAAACUGCAUGCUCAGGAAUCAAGCCAAAUAGUUUGCAUUCAGGGUUAUGAUGCUGGAGAAUCCAAAGGCAGUGAGACCCCAGGCAGCCUGCCAAACCGUUUAGUCUUAGCGCUCCACCAGCAAGCACUAUGGAAAUGACCCUUAGUUGUAAAGGAAGAACCGCGUACCCACUCUCAGGAGAGGAACUUUGGACCCGAGAGCCAGAAGCAACCUGUAACUCACCUUUCCUUGCUGGGCACAUCCUCGGGGUUCCACCAGCACCAUUUCCAACCCCAGCUCUAAGCCUGGGAGUGCCAAACUGCAGGUGGGCAGUGUCAGGGCUCCUUGUCCUCUAGCGACCGUUACCUCUACUGACAACUCAGAUCCCAUCCUCUGCCUCCCGAUGGCAAACCGUUCUGUCUGCACUGCUCGUGACCAUCUGUGAGCCUCAUCUGGUCCUCCUUUCUUUCUCAGAAAACUCAAGGGCCUUACAGAGGGUGGUGUUUCUCUCUCAAAGUCUCCCAUAUCCUUCCCUGCUCCCUAUCAGCAGCCCUUGAAGUCAAUCAGCCAAAUGCACUAUGAGUCAGAUAAUUGGCUGUAAAUUAUCUCCCCGCUGUCCUCCUUUUAGCCCCCCUUUAUCUUACGCGAUCUGGCUUUAGACAAGAUUUCCCCUCAGGGGUGCACAAAAGGAGGGAGAGGCUCCGAUCAAAGAAAAAUGUGGAAUAUUCAGAGAACACUCGAGAGAGACAGGUUUCUGGGAUGGGCAGAGCCUGCCCUCCAAAGGACCCCUCUUUUGUACCCUCCCCUGAUGACCACUGGCCCUGCCCUCCAGAUGCCAAACAUCGUGGAAGCCUGAUUCUGGAAGACAAAAUGCCCAGUCCUCAAACAAACUGCGUGUGCUUCAGAGUUCUGCCUCCGGAGGAUCAAAAGGCAGUCUGAACCUCACAUAUCUGUCCUUUAAGGUGGGCUUUGGGCUAGCUGUGCCACUUGAAAGUGACCCAGAUGUGGGAAGGUGGAACAAGUUUCCUUUCACCAGGUCAUUGAGCUGAACCCACUCCAAGUCAUGUGAUCAGAUUUCAAUGAGUCAGCCUCCCCAUCUUCAUUUCUGUCACUCGGGUCGAGAUGCAGCCUCUGCAGAAUCCAAAGGCAGUCAGAUCUCUUCACGGACUGUCCAGUCACCUGGACCUCAGGCUACCUGAGCUGUCAGAAAGUGACCCGCAGAUGGGAAGAGCAGGACAAGGUCCUCCCUAUCAGGAACAAUGGUUUCAGCUCUCCUAGGCAAACACCGUGCAUUCCUGGCUCUGGAAAACUGCAUGCCAAAUUUUCUGACCAACUACUUGUGGGUUGAGAGUUCUCCUUUGGGAGAACCCCAAAGUCAGCCAGACGCCUGACUGCCAGUCCCAGGGUGUGGGCUUUGGUCUGCCUGAGCUGACUGCAAGUGACCCAGAUGCGUUGAAGGUGGAACCAUUUCCCUUUUACCUGGAACAACCAAGUGCCUUCCAGGAUGGGGGUGUUUCCCCCUCACAGUCACCCGUGGCUCUCACUCCUCCCUAUCCCUUAGCAUCCCUCUUAGUCUCUGAGCGAGCUGAACCCACUCCAAAUCAAGUAACUGGGUUUACGCUA